rnacentral:rRNA from 1 species
AUCCUGGCUCAGGAUGAACGCUAGCGGCAGGCUUAACACAUGCAAGUCGAGGGGCAUCGGGAGUAGCAAUACUGCCGGCGACCGGCGCAAGGGUGCGUAACGCGUGAGCAACAUGCCCGUAUCAGGGGGAUAAUCCAUGGAAACGUGGUCUAAUACCCCAUAGUAAUUAUGUAAGGCAUCUUAUAUAAUUUAAAGCUUUGGUGGAUACGGAUUGGCUCGCGUGACAUUAGCUGGAUGGUAAGGUAACGGCUUACCAUGGCUACGAUGUCUAGGGGUUCUGAGAGGAAGGUCCCCCCACACUGGAACUGAGACACGGUCCAGACUCCUACGGGAGGCAGCAGUGAGGAAUAUUGGACAAUGGAUGGAAAUCUGAUCCAGCCAUGCCGCGUGCAAGGAAGACCGGCCCUAUGGGUUGUAAACUGCUUUUGUAUGGGAGCAAUAAGGGCUACGUGUAGUCCGAUGAGAGUACCAUACGAAUAAGCACCGGCUAACUCCGUGCCAGCAGCAGC